AUCGCGCUGGGUAGAGACACACGGGGCAGCUGCCUUUGGCCCAGCCAACUAGGGAGCUCCAUCAAGCGACGGCCCCGGACGGCCCCUUCCGGGAGUGACCAGGGGCCUCAGCCGGCCUCUUCGACUCCGACCUUUCCAGGAGGUUCCGGGAACACUGCAGUGAAGACGUGCAGCAUCCUAGCAGUGGGAUGGAAUCGGGGGGGGGGACUCGGUUGCCGUGCGGGCAGGGAACCCCCUCUCGCCCUGAGUCGUCUGGCCUGCAAGGAUGGUACCGACGGGUAUUUUGACAUGACAAGUUGUCAGGAGCCAGAAAACCAGAUGCUCUAGAGAUGUGCUACAGGUCCACUGAGGUAAUUUGGAAGAAUAAGGACUGUCAGAAGCAAUCAAACUAAGACAUGAAUCUCUAUUAAAGGUUGUCACAGAACAGUCAGAAAAGACAUUUCGGGAGACAGGAAGUGGAAGGCAUCUGUGACAUUCCACCAGCAGGAUAAGAACGGUAGACCUUCAGUUGUCAAAAACCAUUAAGGAUCUCGACCGUACCGCCGAUUUGGAAAGCCCUACCAUUAAACCGCGUCACCUCCGAUUUACAUUCCAAAACAGUCAGACCGAUUCAUGAAACAUUUAGACCCUCAGUUCUCCUGCCUAGUGCUUUCAUUGAAGAAAAACCGGGGGACGAAAAAUAAACAAAUGCCCAAAGGAAA